UACGGAGGGGCGAGUGUUGUUCGGAAUUACUGGGCGUAAAGGGCGCGCAGGCGGCUUGGCAAGUCGAGUGUGAAAUCCCUUGGCUUAACUGAGGAAUGGGCGCUCGAAACUACCUCGCUAGAGGGCGGGAGAGGGAAGUGGAACUCUCGGUGUAGGGGUGAAAUCUGUAGAUAUCGAGAGGAACACCGGUGGCGAAGGCGGCUUCCUGGCCCGUACCUGACGCUGAGGCACGAAAGCGUGGGAUCAAACAGG
rnacentral:rRNA from 1 species